rnacentral:rRNA from 1 species
UGAGGAAUAUUGGGCAAUGCCCGCAAGGGUGACCCAGCAACGCCGCGUGGAGGAUGAAUGUCGUAAGAUUGUAAACUCCUGUUAGAGGGGAAGAAUAGUACCGGUUGGACCGGUAUAUGACUGUACCCUCAGAGAAAGCCCCGGCUAACUACGUGCCAGCAGCCGCGGUAAUACGUAGGGGGCAAGCGUUGUCCGGAUUUACUGGGUGUAAAGGGCGCGCAGGCGGGAUAAAAAGUCAGUGGUGAAAUCCUACAGCUUAACUGUAGAACUGCCUUCGAUACUUUUAUUCUUGAGUUCGGGAGAGAGAGACGGAAUUCCAGGUGUAGUGGUGAAAUACGUAGAUAUCUGGAAGAACACCAGUUGCGAAGGCGGUCUCUUGGUCCGACACUGACGCUGAGGCGCGAAAGCGUGG